CGUAUCACCCAAGACAACUUUACGGAGUUGACGAUUGACGGAGCGAAGCGACGUCAAAGCGUUCAUUAAAGUCGAGUUGGCUUAGGGAUACGUUCGUUGGGUAGGGGAGCGUUCUGUAAGCCUGUGAAGGUGUGUCGUGAGGCAUGCUGGAGGUAUCAGAAGUGCGAAUGCUGACAUAAGUAACGAUAAAGCGGGUGAAAAGCCCGCUCGCCGGAAGACCAAGGGUUCCUGUCCAACGUUAAUCGGGGCAGGGUGAGUCGACCCCUAAGGCGAGGCCGAAAGGCGUAGUCGAUGGGAAACGGGUUAAUAUUCCCGUACUUGGUGUUACUGCGAAGGGGGGACGGAGAAGGCUAUGUUGGCCGGGCGACGGUUGUCCCGGUUUAAGCGUGUAGGUGUGUGUUCCAGGUA
rnacentral:rRNA from 1 species